AUUGAACGCUGGCGGCAUGCCUUACACAUGCAAGUCGAACGGUAACGCGGGGCAACCUGGCGACGAGUGGCGAACGGGGGAGUAAUGCAUCGGAACGUGGCCAGUAGUGGGGGAUAGCCCGGCGAAAGCCGGAGUAAUACCGCAUACGACCUACGGGAGAAAGGGGGGGAACGGAAGACCUUUCGCUAUUGGAAUGGCCGAUGUCAGAUUAGCGAGUUUGUGGCGUAAAAGCCUACCAAGGCGACGAUCUGUAGCUGGUCUGAGAGGACGACCAGCCACACUGGGACUGAGACACGGCCCAGACUCAUACGGGAGGCAGAAGUGGGGAAUUUUGGACAAUGGGCGAAAGCCUGAUCCAGCCAUGCCGCGUGCGGGAAGAAGGCCUUCGGGUUGUAAACCGCUUUUUUCAGUGAAGAAAUCUUCUGAGUUAAUACCUCGGGAGGAUGACGGUACCUGAAGAAUAAGCACCGGCUAACUACGUGCCAGCCGCCGCCGUAA
rnacentral:rRNA from 1 species